ensembl:lncRNA
AUCUCCAGCCUCAGCCACGCUGUGAUUUCACUGAAAAAGGGACCUAAGCACUACUUCUGUACUGUCAAAGCUGAGCAAGCGAUACACUUUCUGGCCUCGCAGCACAAAAAACACCACACCACUUGUAGAGCCAGGUGCAUUGGCUCCCCUUCCAGGGUUCUGCAAACGUAUCAUUCCCAAGAGCACCUGUUACAACUGACCUCCAGGAUUGCUGGUGCUUCAAACACAGAAAUAGCGAGAACUGCUGAACUGAAGAUCUAACGAAGAUACAGAGCAGAACGUUGCAACUGUGUAUGACAUUUGGAGUGCAUUCAUCAGAACUACCUACUGCCGGGUAGACUACAAUAUGCAAUGAUAGAAUAUCCCGAGUUGGACUGUUAGAAAAGCUCUGCUUCUUUGAUAUACUUUUCUUCCGUCAGUCCAAAAGGAUCAGAUAAUCGAUCAGAUAAUGCUCAAAAACUGAAGGCUCACAACAGUUCAGAAAUAACGAGAAAGAAUUAAUAGCUUUGUUUCUCGUCCCACCCUCCCUUCAAUUCUGCGCUGGAAGCAGAGCAAUACAUCUCCUGGAACACACUGCAGACAUUCAGACAACAAACAAUUCUGCCUUCCCUCCCCCACUGCAUUUUUGCAUACUUUGGAAGAAAGGAAAGCAGCACAGCUGGAAGUUGUAUUAUUUUCAGCAGUAAAGAUGUCCGUUCACAAAGACAUGCUCAUUGUCUAUGUCACUCCAGAGACUUAAACAUACAUACUUACAAAGACACACACGUAUGGAAGCAGCAGCUGGCGGUACCAAGAAACGAUCCCUUCAUUUCCUAAAGGAAGCAUGAAGACUUACAUAAUCCUGGUUGUACCAACGUGAGUUUCUGUUUCAGGUUCAAGUGAGACCACAGUUAGAAUCAUUAUUUGUAUAACAUAAAAGGAUAAACUAACUUUAUUGACUUAACAGCAUCCCGAUCAUGUUAUGUAUCUACACUCAAUGGCAUUUUAGAUGCUUCAGAACUGGCGUGACUUGCAGCUGAGGUGGCUACAUCUCCCAAAUAUAAGGGAUGCCUUUGACAUGAACACCCAGCUUGAAACACUAUUCUACGCUGAAGGUAACUGAAACAGUCAUGAAGUAACUGAACCCAAACCAAGAGAAUUACAUGAAUGUUCUAGCUCCUCAGUGCUAACUCAUAAUUAGUGCCAUCACAUUUGCCAAUUGAAAUUUUAUCCCCCUAUUCUACCUUUUAUUUCCAUUUUAGUUACUGUGUUUCCGUAGUGUUGUUAAAUACGACCCCACGAGAGCAAAUCAGGUGGCAGCUGUGAGUUCUGCAGGUUAUUUUUCAUCAUGUCCAACACAAAGGGUGAGGAAAGGAAGAACGCUACACUCAGUACGUCUUGUGCAGUUUGCCAGCUGCCUGAAAAACCCUUCUAUUGCCUCUUGUUACACUUACAUUAGUCCAGAUAUAUUGGUCAACCUGAAACAAAUGCAUUAGCAUUGAAUGUGUAUUUCAACAAAGACUG